rnacentral:rRNA from 1 species
AUUAAUAGUUAUGGUCUUUAAACUUAAAAAAAUUGGCGGUAUUUAAAUCUAAUUAGGGGAAUUUGUUUAUUAAAUGAUAAUCCUCAAGAAACCUUACUUUAAUUUAUUUAGCUUAUUUAUUGCCGUUAUCAGAUUAUUUUUUAAGAAUUAUAAAUUUUCUAGAUUUUUAAUUUAAAAAUUUAUUUCAGGUCAUUAUGUAGUAUAUAUUAAAGUUUAGAUGAAUUACAAUAAAUUAUAUUUAUUAUGGAUAUAAAAUUGCAAUAUUUUAUUAAAAGUGGACUUAAUAGUAAAUAUUUAAAUUAUUAUUUUAUUUUGAAUUAAGAAUUAAAU